UGAGGAAUAUUGGUCAAUGGGCGCAAGCCUGAACCAGCCAUCCCGCGUGCAGGAAGACGGCGCUAUGCGUUGUAAACUGCUUUUCCAGGGGGAGAAACUUGCGCACGUGUUGCGCAAUUGACGGUACCCUGGGAAUAAGCAUCGGCUAACUCCGUGCCAGCAGCCGCGGUAAUACGGAGGAUGCGAGCGUUAUCCGGAUUCAUUGGGUUUAAAGGGUGCGUAGGCGGACUAUUAAGUCAGUGGUGAAAUCCUGCAGCUUAACUGCAGAGCUGCCAUUGAUACUGAUAGGCUUGAGUUUGGUUAAGGUAGGCGGAAUGUGUAAUGUAGCGGUGAAAUGCUUAGAUAUUACACAGAACACCAAUUGCGUAGGCAGCUUACUGAGCCGACACUGACGCUGAGGCACGAAAGCGUGGGGAUCGAACAG
rnacentral:rRNA from 1 species